GAAACAACAGGGAUUGCCUCAGUAACGGCGAGUGAAGCGGCAAAAGCUCAAAUUUGAAACCCUCGGGAUUGUAAUUUGAAGAUUUGGCAUUGGAGAAAGCUAACCCAAGUUGCUUGGAAUAGUACGUCAUAGAGGGUGACAACCCCGUCUGGCUAACCGUUCUCCAUGUAUUGCCUUAUCAAAGAGUCGAGUUGUUUGGGAAUGCAGCUCAAAGUGGGUGGUAAACUCCAUCUAAAGCUAAAUACUGGUGAGAGACCGAUAGCGAACAAGUACUGUGAAGGAAAGGUGAAAAGAACUUUGAAAAGAGAGUGAAAUAGUAUGUGAAAUUGUUGAUAGGGAAGGAAAUGAGUGGAGAGUGGCCGAGGUUUCAGCCGCCCCUCGUGGGCGGUGUACUGCCGACGCCGAGUCAUCGAUAGCGAGACGAGGGUUACAAAUGGGAGCGCCUUCGGGCGUUCUCCCCUAACCCUCCACACUGCCACCGACGACAUAAUCCACCCAUUCACGUCUUGAAA
rnacentral:rRNA from 1 species